GCCCCCAAGGGUUGGACUGUUCGCCCAUUAAAAACCUACGUGAGCUGGGUUCAAAGCGUCGUAAGACAGCUUGGUCUCUAUCCGCAGUAACCGUUUUGAUUCUUGAGGGAAUCUGUCCCUAGUACGAAAGGACUGGGAUGGGCAAACCUCUGGUGGUCCAGCUGUGGCAUCAGCCGCAACGCUGGGUAGCUAUGUUUGUAGAGGAUAACCGCUGAAAGCAUCUCAAGCGGGAAGCCAAUCCCAAGAUGAAGAGUCUUUAAGAUCCCAGGGAGACUACCUGGUUGAUAGGCCGGAGGUGUAAGUUUGGCAACAAAUUAAGCCGACCGGUACUAAUGAUUUUCGGCAUUUAAAA
rnacentral:rRNA from 1 species